CAUAUCACUAAGCGGAGAAAAAGAAAAUAACAAUGAUUCCUAGAGUAACGGCGAGUGAAAUAGGAAGAGCCCAUAGCCGAAUUCUGCUGUCCUCGAUGGCAGCUAGAAGUUGUGGCGUUGGGAACUGCCUAUUGUAACCGAUCGGCCGGGCUACGCGACUCCUCUUGAUUGUGGUUUGCCCAUAGCAGGUGAAAGGCCUAUUGGUCGUAGCCUCGUGCUGAAGGCCGGCGGUGAUGGCAGUCCUUAGAGUCGGGUUGUUUGGGAUUGCAGCCCGAAGUAGGUGGUAAACUCCACCUAAGGCUAAAUACGAUCGCGAGUCCGAUAGCGCACAAGUACCGUGAGGGACAGUUGAAAAGAACUUUGAAGAGAGAGUUCAAAGUACGUGAAACCGUUCAGAGGUAAACGGGUAGAAAGUCGAAUUGAAGGUUGACAAUCAGACCGUUGGCAUAGUCGGGGUUGGGCUGGUAGCACGUUAAAGGCURCCGGUUUGCUCGUAAGGCUGGCUACGGUUGUAUUUGUUGGCUUUACAUCGCCGCGACGACAGUCACUGACCGGCUGGCACGUGCCCCUCUGGUCGACGUGGAUCCGUAUGGGUCUUCACAACGUCGGCACAAGGACAGGCGCCCCGCGUACAUGGCACAGUCGAUAAUAUACAGCGAUAUAAGCGUUCCAGCUGAUUGUCGUUCGUCUUGUAUUGGCAGGCCGAUCUUAAACAAGCUCGACUGUUGACAUCAGGGCGGCGGCAGUUGGUUUAACGACGGAACAAGCAUCGCAUUGGCGGCGUUUGACUACGAAUUAUCUACCUGACCCGUCUUGAAACACGGACCAAGGAGUCUAACAUGUGCGCGAGCCAUUGGGAUUUAAUAUAAUAAACCCAAAGGCAAAGUGAAAGCAAAAAUGGUGAGAUCCGUCGUUUAUUUGUUAAGAAUAGCGGCGGCGCAUCAUCGUCACGCUUCAAUUCGGCUUCGGCUGAAGAGGCGCAGACUGAGCGCACAAGUUGGGACCCGAAAGAUGGUGAACUAUGCGUGGUAAGGUCGAAGCCAGAGGAAACUCUGGUGGAGGACUGUAGCGGUUCUAACGUGCAAAUUGAUCGUGCUAACUGCGUAUAGGGGCGAAAGACUAAUCGAACCAUCUAGUAGCUGGUUCCCUCCGAAGUUUCCCUCAGGAUAGCUGGCACUUUCGGAGAGCAGUUUUGUCCGGUAAAGCGAAUGACUAGAGGCCUUGGGGACAUAACGACCUCAACCUAUUCUCAAACUUUGAAUGGGCAAGAAGAGUGACUCACUUAACUGGAGUCACUUAAUGAAUGCUUGAGUGCCAAGUGGGCCAUUUUUGGUAAGCAGAACUGGCGCUGUGGGAUGAACCAAACGUCUAGCUAAGGCGCCAAAUGCUAACGCUCAUCCGAUCCCAUUAAAGGUGUUGGUUGAUAGAGACAGCAGGACGGUGGCCAUGGAAGUCGGAACCCGCCAAGGAGUGUGUAACAACUCACCUGCCGAAUCAACCAGUCCUGAAAAUGGAUGGCGCUGAAGCGUUGUGAGCCUAUGCUAGACCGGCAUUGCAAUUCUAAUCAAAUCAAGCGAUGCCGAGUAGGAGGGUCGCUGUGGUAUGCGUUGAAGCUUUGGGCGAGGGCCCGAGUCGAGCUUCCACAGGUGCAGAUCUUGGUGGUAGUAGCAAAUAUUCAAAAGAGAACUUUGAAGGCCGAAGUGGAGAAGGGUUCCAUGUGAACAGCAUUUGAACAUGGGUCAGUCGGUCCUAAGCGAUAGGCUAAUGCCGUUCUGAAAGCAGGCUUUUGUUGUAAUCUAAACAAUUCAAUGAUAAUGCCUGAUUUUGGUCGAAAGGGAAUCGGGUUAAUAUUCCCGAACCUGGACGCGGAGAUGGGGCGUAGUGUAACAACUGCGCUCAGUGCGGUAACGCAAACGAUCUCGGAUUCGUCGGCGGGAGUCCUGGGAAGAGUUCUCUCUUCUUUGUAAGGGGCUGAAUCCCUGGAAUCGGCUUAGCCGGAGAUAGGGAUAUUGCAACAGCGCCCGUAAAGCACCACACUUCUUGUGGUGUCCGGUGCACGACUGUCGACACUUAAAAGUCCGAGCUAGACGUUCAUAAUGUUCGCGCCAGGCCGUACCCAUAUCCGCAGCAGGUCUCCAAGGUGAACAGCCUCUGGUCUUAGACUGAUGUAGUCAAGGGAAGUCGGCAAAUUGGAUCCGUAACUUCGGAACAAGGAUUGGCUCUAUGGGUUGGGCCGUGACGGGCUGUGCUAGCAAGCGAUGCCUGCUACUGAUGCUUCGGGUCUGACUGGCAACGGUUGGGCCUAGCGUCGGUUGGCGGCGCGUGGAUCUGGCAUGGCUUAGYCGGCGAUCUUCGGGUCGUCGGCAUCGUUCGGCAAAAAGCAACCACCAUAGAACUGGUACGGAC
rnacentral:rRNA from 1 species